UUCGCACGGGACAGCGGAUUAUUCGAUGCAACGCGAAGAACUUACAAGGCUUGACAUACACUGGACCGUUCUGGAAACAGUUCUUCUCUUUGGAGCUGGUGUACAGGUGGUGCAUGGUUGUCGUCAGCUCGUGUCGUGAGAUGUUGGGUUAAGUCCCGCAACGAGCGCAACCCUCGUUCUAUGUUGCCAGCACGUGAUGGUGGGAACUCAUAGGAGACUGCCGGGGUCAACUCGGAGGAAGGUGGGGAUGACGUCAAAUCAUCAUGCCCUUUAUGUCUUGGGCUUCACGCAUGCUACAAUGGCUGGUACAGAGAGAGGCGAACCCGUGAGGGUAAGCGAAUCCCUUAAAGCCAGUCUCAGUUCGGAUCGUAGUCUGCAAUUCGACUACGUGAAGUCGGAGUCGCUAGUAAUCGCAGAUCAGCAACGCUGCGGUGAAUACGUUCCCGGGCCUUGUACACACCGCCCGUAAUGNNNNNNUNCUUUNUCCCUGUUGUUUCUGG
rnacentral:rRNA from 1 species